CCUACGGGGGGCUGCAGUGGGGAAUAUUGGACAAUAGGGGGAACCCUGAUCCAGCCAUGCCGCGUGUGUGAAGAAGGCCCUCGGGUUGUAAAGCACUUUCAGUGAGGAAGAACGCCUGGUGGUUAAUACCCAUCAGGAAAGACAUCACUCACAGAAGAAGCACCGGCUAACUCCGUACCAGCAGCCGCGGUAAUACGGAGGGUGCGAGCGUUAAUCGGAAUUACUGGGCGUAAAGCGCGCGUAGGUGGCUUGAUAAGCCGGUUGUGAAAGCCCCGGGCUCAACCUGGGAACGGCAUCCGGAACUGUCAAGCUAGAGUGCAGGAGAGGAAGGUAGAAUUCCCGGUGUAGCGGUGAAAUGCGUAGAGAUCGGGAGGAAUACCAGUGGCGAAGGCGGCCUUCUGGACUGACACUGACACUGAGGUGCGAAAGCGUGGGUAGCAAACAGGAUUAGAUACCCUUGUAGUC
rnacentral:rRNA from 1 species